rnacentral:rRNA from 1 species
UACAGAGGGUGCAAGCGUUAAUCGGAAUGACUGGGCGUAAAGGGCGUGUAGGUGGAUACAUAAGUCAAAGGUGAAAUCCCCGGGCUUAACCUGGGAACUGCCUGUGAAACUGUGAAUCUAGAGUAUGGGAGAGGGAAGUGGAAUUUCCGGUGUAGCGGUGAAAUGCGUAGAUAUCGGAAGGAACACCAGUGGCGAAGGCGACUUCCUGGCCUAAUACUGACACUGAGGCGCGAAAGCGUGGGGAGCAAACAGGAUUAGAUACCCUGGUAGUCCACGCCGUAAACGAUGAGAACUAGAUGUUGGGUAGCUAAGGCUAUCUAGUAUCGUAGCUAACGCGAUAAGUUCUCCGCCUGGGGAGUACGGCCGCAAGGUUAAA